UUCUCCGAUUGAUUCUGUCGGCGAUUAUAUGCUUAUCUCAAAGGCUAAGCCAUGCAUGUCAAAGUUCAUACUGCCUUAAAUGGUGAAACCGCGAACGGCUCAUUACAACAGCUAUUAUAUACUUGAUCUUGAUUUCCUACGUGGAUAACUGUGGUAAUUCUAGAGCUAAUACAUGCACCAAAGCUCCGAUUUUAUUGACGAGCGCAUCUAUUAGAUUAAAACCAAUCGAGCUUUAAACGGCUCGUUAAUUGGUGACUCUGAAUAGCUUAGCUGAUCGCAUGGUCUAGUACCGGCGACAUAUCUAUCAAGUAUCUGCCUUAUCAACUUUCGAUGGUAGUUUAUGUGCCUACCAUGGUUGUAACGGGUAACGGAGAAUAAGGGUUCGACUCCGGAGAGGGAGCCUGAGAAACGGCUACCACUUCCAAGGAAGGCAGCAGGCGCGCAAAUUACCCACUCUCAGCAAGAGGAGGUAGUGACGAAAAAUAACGAGACCGUUCUCAUUGAGGCCGGUUAUCGGAAUGGGUACAAUUUAAACCUGUUAACGAGGACCUAUGAGAGGGCAAGCCUGGUGCCAGCAGCCGCGGUAACUCCAGCUCUCAAAGUGUAUAUCGUUAUUGCUGCGGUUAAAAAGCUCGUAGUUGGAAUCCAGCUUGACGACAUGGUCCAUUUAUUGGAUGUGAACUAUGAUCGUAGGCUAAUCUAUGUUGGUUUUCCUUGCGUUACCUUGAUCGGUCGCGUAAGGUGGCUAGCGAGUUUACCUUGAAAAAAUUAGAGUGCUUAAUGCGGGCUUAAAAGCCUGAAUAUUCGUGCAUGGAAUAAUAGAAUAGGAUCUCGGUUCUAUUUUGUUGGUUUUCUGAUCUGAGAUAAUGGUUAAGAGGGACAGACGGGGGCAUUCGUACCGCUGCGUGAGAGGUGAAAUUCUUGGACCGUAGCGAGACGUCCCACUGCGAAAGCAUUUGCCAAGAAUGUCUUCAUUAAUCAAGAACGAAAGUCAGAGGUUCGAAGGCGAUCAGAUACCGCCCUAGUUCUGACCGUAAACGAUACCAACUAGCGUUCCGUCAGUGGUAAUUACGCCUUGACGGGCAGCUUACCGGAAACGAAAGUUUUUCGGUUCCGGGGGAAGUAUGGUUGCAAAGCUGAAACUUAAAGAAAUGACGGAAGGGCACCACCAGGGGUGGAGCCUGCGGCUUAAUUUGACUCAACACGGGAAAACUCACCUGGCCCGGACACCGUGAGGAUUGACAGAUUGAGAGCUCUUUCUUGAUUCGGUGGUUGGUGGUGCAUGGCCGUUCUUAGUUGGUGGAGUGAUUUGUCUGGUUUAUUCCGAUAACGAGCGAGACUCUAGCCUACUAAAUAGUCGGCAAAUAACUCGUGAAAUGUUUGUGCGACUUCUUAGAGGGACAAGCGGUGUUCAGCCGCAUGAAGUUGAGCAAUAACAGGUCUGUGAUGCCCUUAGAUGUCCAGGGCUGCACGCGCGCUACACUGGAGGAAUCAACGUGCUAUGUCCAUUGUCGAAAGGCAUUGGUAACCCGUUGAAAAUCCUCCGUGCUCGGGAUAGGGAAUUGCAAUUAUUUCCCUUGAACGAGGAAUCCCUAGUAAGUGUGAGUCAUCAGCUCACGCUGAUUACGUCCCUGCCCUUUGUACACACCGCCCGUCGCUGCCCGGGACUGAGCCGUUUCGAGAAAAGCGGAGACUGCUGUAUUGAAGCCGAAUAUUUGCGGUGGAAAUACUCUGGUGGAAAUCGCCUUAAUCGCAGUGGCUGAACCGGGCAAAAGUCGUAACAAGGGUUUCCGUAGGUGAACCUGCAGAAGGGAUCAAGCAG
rnacentral:rRNA from 1 species